GCGGGUAUGGCGGAACUGGCAGACGCACAAGAUUUAGGUUCUUGCGCCGAAAGGUGUGCAGGUUCGAUUCCUGUUACCCGCACCA
rnacentral:tRNA from 1 species